rnacentral:rRNA from 1 species
UACGAGGGGGGCGAGCGUUGUUCGGAAUUAUUGGGCGUAAAGGGUGCGUAGGCGGCCUGACAAGUCUGAUGUGAAAUCCCUGGGCUCAACCCAGGGCCUGCAUCGGAAACUGUCGGGCUUGAGUAUGGGAGAGGUGAGUGGAAUUUCCGGUGUAGCGGUGAAAUGCGUAGAUAUUGGAAGGAACACCUGUGGCGAAAGCGGCUCACUGGACCAUUACUGACGCUGAGGCACGAAAGCUAGGGGAGCAAACAGG